CCACAGAAUGCAGGUGGUGUGUGAUGCACAGGCAGAGCCCUGCAUUAUAGAAGGAACUUUCCAGUUCCCCAGGCUCUCGCUCUGCCUUUACRUUGACCCUCUGCUUCUGCUGUGUUGGAGAGUCAACCCAGCAGCAGGACUGGCAGGGGCACAAGAAGGACCCGAGGGGCUGCCUGUGAUGCUCUCCCACCAGCAGAACCGCCCCGCGACGCCCCCAGCGAGACCGGCGAGAGCUGCAGCGGAUCCCRAGGCUUCCGAAGCAAAAGCAGCUCCCG